AUUACACUUUGUUGCUUUGGCAAGCCUGCCCUCGGGCUGCUGGCUCCGGCCGGCGAGCGCUUGCCAGAGGACCUAAACUCUGUUUGUCUAUACUGUCUGAGUACUAUAUAAUAGUUAAAACUUUCAACAACGGAUCUCUUGGUUCUGGCAUCGAUGAAGAACGCAGCGAAAUGCGAUAAGUAAUGUGAAUUGCAGAAUUCAGUGAAUCAUCGAAUCUUUGAACGCACAUUGCGCCCCCUGGUAUUCCGGGGGGCAUGCCUGUCCGAGCGUCAUUACAACCCUCAAGCUCAGCUUGGUGUUGGGCCCCGCCGCCCCGGCGGGCCCUAAAGUCAGUGGCGGUGCCGUCCGGCUCCGAGCGUAGUAAUUCUUCUCGCUCUGGAGGUCCGGUCGUGUGCUCGCCAGCAACCCCAAUUUUUUUCAGGUUGACUCGGAUCAGU
rnacentral:rRNA from 1 species